rnacentral:rRNA from 1 species
UCCGGUUGAUCCUGCCGGAGGCUACCGCUAUUGGAGUUCGAUUAAGCCAUGCGAGUCGAGAGUCCUCGGGACUCGGCGUACCGCUCAGUAACACGUGGGUAACCUGCCCUAUGCUGGGGAAUAACCUCGGGAAACUGAGAAUAAUGCCCCAUAGCCCACUACGCCUGGAACGGUGAGUGGGUCAAAGCUCCGGCGGCAUAGGAUGGGCCUGCGCCGUAUCAGGUUGUAGGGGGUGUAAAGUACCCUCUAGCCAUCAACGCGUACGGGUGUUGGGAGACAUUGCCCGGAGAUGGAUUCUGAGACACGAAUCCAGACCCUACGGGGUGCAGCAGGCGCGAAAACUUGGCAAUGCGAGAAAUCGUGACCAGGGAACUCCAAGUGCGUAGGGUAAGACCUACGCUUUUCUUGACUCUUCAAAGGUCUUGGAAUAAGGGGUGGGUAAGGACGGUGCCAGCCGCCGCGGUAAUACCGGCGCCUCAAGUGGUAGUCGCUUUUAUUGGGCCUAAAGGCGCCACACUAGAACGGAUCCGACGGUCAGGGACGAAACCUAGGGGCACGAACCGGAUUAGAUACCCGGGUAGUCCUAGGUGUAAACGCUGUGGACUUGAUGUUGGGGGCGCUCCGAGCGCUCUCAGUGUCGAAGCGAAGGUGAUAAGUCCACUGCCUGGGGAGUACGGUCGCAAGGCUGAAACUUAAAGGAAUUGGCGGGGGAGCACUGCAACCUGAGGAUUGUGCGGUUUAAUUGGAUUCAACGCCGGAAAACUCACCAUGGCCGACGGACAAAUGAAAGCCAGUGUAACGAGCUUGCUGGAUUGUUCGAGAGGUAUUGCAUGGCCGUCGUCAGUUCGUACCGCAAGGCGUUCUGUUAAGUCAGAUAACGAACGAGACCCUCAUCCCUAUUUGCCAGCUGCGUCCCCGGACGCAACGCACUAUAGGGAGACCGCUGUCGAUAAGGCAGAUGAAGGCGAGGGCAACGGUAGGUCAGUAUGAUCCGAAUGCCAUGGGCUACACGCGCAAUACAAAGGACGGGACAAUGGGCUGCAACUCCGAGAGGAAAGACGCUAUCCCGAAACCCGUUCGUAGUUCGGAUUGAGGGCUGUAACUCGCCCUCAUGAAGCUGGAUUAGGUAGUAAUCGCGUCUCAAUAGGGCGCGGUGAAUAUGCCCCUGCUCCUUGCACACACCGCCCGUCAAACCAUCUUAGUUGGGGGUGGGUGAGGCUGCCUUAACCAUGGGGUAUUCGAGCCUGCCUUCGACAAGGAGGGUUAAGUCGUAACAAGGUAUCUGUAGGGGAACCUGCAGAUG